rnacentral:pre_miRNA from 17 species
AACCGCACGGGAUAAUCCAUCUUCCCGUGCAGUCGGGUUAAGUGGACCGUACAAGAUGAUCGAUUAUCCCCUACGGUC